AUCACUUCUCGGCCUUUUGGCUAAGAUCAAGUGUAGUAUCUCACGUUAGAUACUUUUUAAUAAACCAAUGUGCACAAAAUGAGGAGGCUUUCCUUGUCUUUCAGAACUCUUCAAGGAUCUUGGAGAGUUUCUAGAUUGUCAACUAUGAAGGAGCUGAAUAC
rnacentral:snRNA from 1 species